rnacentral:rRNA from 1 species
AGUGAACGCUGGCGGUAGGCCUAACACAUGCAAGUCGAACGGCAGCACAGGAGAGCUUGCUCUCUGGGUGGCGAGCGGCGGACGGGUGAGGAAUACAUCGGAAUCUACUCUGUCGUGGGGGAUAACGUAGGGAAACUUACGCUAAUACCGCAUACGACCUACGGGUGAAAGCAGGGGAUCUUCGGACCUUGCGCGAUUGAAUGAGCCGAUGUCGGAUUAGCUAGUUGGCGGGGUAAAGGCCCACCAAGUCGACGAUCCGUAGCUGGUCUGAGAGGAUGAUCAGCCACACUGGAACUGCGACACGGUCCAGACUCCUACGGGAGGCAGCAGUGGGGAAUAUUGGACAAUGGGCGCAAGCCUGAUCCAGCCAUACCGCGUGGGUGAAGAAGGCCUUCGGGUUGUAAAGCCCUUUUGUUGGGAAAGAAAUCCAGCUGGCUAAUACCCGGUUGGGAUGACGGUACCCAAAGAAUAAGCACCGGCUAACUUCGUGCCAGCCGCCGCCGUAA